GAUUUAUUGUGAGGGAUGUUGUAUUGUGCAUUAUAUGGGGAUUUUACUCCUAUCUCAAAACUAUUGUCCUUUGUCUGGGCAGGGGGGAGGAAAGGAUAACUCACAAGCAUUCAGGGUGGCUACGUAGCAUCACUGAUUAUUGCACAUAUACAUGAAGAAAGAAAACAUUCACAUCACAUCACGCAAGACUGAAGUCGUACACACUUUCGUAGUUUUAUUUACAUACAUUGAAAUAUUUACAGUGCAAAAUAGAUAUAUGCACAUAAAUCACAACUCUGAUUAAAUUGGUCUGAGUCAGGUAAAUCAUUAGUUAAUCGAUAGAAAUAGAGUUGCCAACACUCGCUGUACAACUAUGGAUGCAAUUUGAUAUAUACUGCUUUGACAAAUAACCAAAGCUGGACAUGAUAACGAAGAGAAAGAUGUCACAAUAAUCAAUAAAUCAUUGUGAUAUUUUUACAAGUAUAGUAUCUCAUUGAUAGAUUUAGUAAUAGAUAGUUAUUAUAGACAUUCAUACUAUUUUACACGCGUAGUGCCUUCACAGACGUACCAUCUCUUACUGGUUUAAACGGCAGUGGUCUUGUGGUGGUGGUGGUGAUAACAGUGGUGGUGGCGGUGAGCUAUACUGACACACACACACACACACACUAAAAAAAAAACGCUCUUGUAUACCGAAAACACUGGUAAACACAAUCAAAACACAAGUGAAGUGAAGUGUUGCUAUAUUACCGACAAUUCUCAAGCAGCACCAAUUACGUACCAUGCACCAAGCAGUGCAAGCCUUCGCCACAACCCUCCACACUGCCUUAUCUCCAUCAAUUAAAGGCUCAGGCGUGAAGAUGGAAGCAAUAGAAGGAAGAGAAAGGAGAAACAAUGGAGGAGGAUGAAGAAGAAAUGAUAAAUAGAAGCGGAAUAGGAGAAGAAGCCAAGGUGUAAUAUUUAGGACAUUCACCAACACAAGACACCAGCAAAGUAAUGGUACAAGGAAAGAGGAGGUCCCACAAGAUAUCAGAUUUCUGUGAUGAAGUUUGUGGUGGAGCAUGUGAGCAAGGAUUGAGGACAGUUAGGCAGGCUGGAUGGUCUCCGCAGCCAGCCUGAUAGUACCCACACCACUCCACUCUCCCUUAUUUCCACCAAGGGAGGCAGUGCACCACAUCUCACUUAGGACGUGCUGCACUGGUGGCAUGGCAUUGAGGGAAGCGCCUCUGUAUCCCUGCCCAGCACUUCAUUGAACACAUGAAGGUGCUCCAGAGUUUCAAGAAGGGAGUGGCACACACACUUUGCUGCACACCAAAUAAGGCAAACAAAUUGUCAAGUAGUAGUUAUUUUGUCAUUGUCCUCAGUUUUUCUCACCCCUCCAACUGCUAACUCUGUACAAUGGCCUUGUAAACUCUGGAACUCCCUGCUUGUUUCUGUAUUUCCAUCUUCCUAUGACUUGACAUCUUUUAAGAGGGAGGUUUCAUGACAUUUGACCGUCUUUUGAUUAAUUCUGUACCAAUCUUUUAGUGAACUUGCAAUUCAAGUGGGCCUUUUUUAAACUUUUGUUGCACUUGGCUAGUUUCCCUCUUGCAUAAAAAAAAAUAGUGUAGCUUUGCUUGUCUAGGUUUUUUUUAUCUACCUUCCUGUACCACAAGUGUGAUAACAAGUAAGCAGUUUUCACAAUUUAGGAUUGAUAAGAUGACAUGAAGGUAAAUGAUUGCUAAACAUGAACUUUUGUUGACUCCUUUCUUUUUUG